GAACGAUGACCUCCAGCUUGCUGGGGUGAUUAGUGGCGAACGGGUGAGUAACACGUGAGUAACCUGCCCUUAACUCUGGGAUAAGCCUGGGAAACUGGGUCUAAUACCGGAUAUGACUCCUCAUCGCAUGGUGGGGGGUGGAAAGCUUUUUGUGGUUUUGGAUGGACUCGCGGCCUAUCAGCUUGUUGGUGAGGUAAUGGCUCACCAAGGCGACGACGGGUAGCCGGCCUGAGAGGGUGACCGGCCACACUGGGACUGAGACACGGCCCAGACUCCUACGGGAGGCAGCAGUGGGGAAUAUUGCACAAUGGGCGAAAGCCUGAUGCAGCGACGCCGCGUGAGGGAUGACGGCCUUCGGGUUGUAAACCUCUUUCAGUAGGGAAGAAGCGAAAGUGACGGUACCUGCAGAAGAAGCGCCGGCUAACUACGUGCCAGCAGCCGCGGUAAUACGUAGGGCGCAAGCGUUAUCCGGAAUUAUUGGGCGUAAAGAGCUCGUAGGCGGUUUGUCGCGUCUGCCGUGAAAGUCCGGGGCUCAACUCCGGAUCUGCGGUGGGUACGGGCAGACUAGAGUGAUGUAGGGGAGACUGGAAUUCCUGGUGUAGCGGUGAAAUGCGCAGAUAUCAGGAGGAACACCGAUGGCGAAGGCAGGUCUCUGGGCAUUAACUGACGCUGAGGAGCGAAAGCAUGGGGAGCGAACAGGAUUAGAUACCCUGGUAGUCCAUGCCGUAAACGUUGGGCACUAGGUGUGGGGGACAUUCCACGUUUUCCGCGCCGUAGCUAACGCAUUAAGUGCCCCGCCUGGGGAGUACGGCCGCAAGGCUAAAACUCAAAGGAAUUGACGGGGGCCCGCACAAGCGGCGGAGCAUGCGGAUUAAUUCGAUGCAACGCGAAGAACCUUACCAAGGCUUGACAUGGGCCGGACCGGGCUGGAAACAGUCCUUCCCCUUUGGGGCCGGUUCACAGGUGGUGCAUGGUUGUCGUCAGCUCGUGUCGUGAGAUGUUGGGUUAAGUCCCGCAACGAGCGCAACCCUCGUUCCAUGUUGCCAGCGCGUAAUGGCGGGGACUCAUGGGAGACUGCCGGGGUCAACUCGGAGGAAGGUGGGGACGACGUCAAAUCAUCAUGCCCCUUAUGUCUUGGGCUUCACGCAUGCUACAAUGGCCGGUACAAAGGGUUGCGAUACUGUGAGGUGGAGCUAAUCCCAAAAAGCCGGUCUCAGUUCGGAUUGGGGUCUGCAACUCGACCCCAUGAAGUCGGAGUCGCUAGUAAUCGCAG
rnacentral:rRNA from 1 species